rnacentral:Y_RNA from 1 species
GGCUGGUCCUAGUAUAGUAGUGUUUAUAACUAAUUGAUCACAACCAGUUAUAGAUUUCUUUGUUCCUUCUCCACUCCCACUGCUUUACUUGACUAGCCUUUA